GACGAACGCUGGCUGCGUGCUUAACACAUGCAAGUCGAACGGAAAGGCCCUGCUUUUGUGGGGUGCUCGAGUGGCGAACGGGUGAGUAACACGUGAGUAACCUGCCCUUGACUUUGGGAUAACUUCAGGAAACUGGGGCUAAUACCGGAUAGGAGCUCCUGCUGCAUGGUGGGGGUUGGAAAGUUUCGGCGGUUGGGGAUGGACUCGCGGCUUAUCAGCUUGUUGGUGGGGUAGUGGCUUACCAAGGCUUUGACGGGUAGCCGGCCUGAGAGGGUGACCGGCCACAUUGGGACUGAGAUACGGCCCAGACUCCUACGGGAGGCAGCAGUGGGGAAUAUUGCACAAUGGGCGGAAGCCUGAUGCAGCAACGCCGCGUGCGGGAUGACGGCCUUCGGGUUGUAAACCGCUUUCGCCUGUGACGAAGCGUGAGUGACGGUAAUGGGUAAAGAAGCACCGGCUAACUACGUGCCAGCAGCCGCGGUGAUACGUAGGGUGCGAGCGUUGUCCGGAUUUAUUGGGCGUAAAGGGCUCGUAGGUGGUUGAUCGCGUCGGAAGUGUAAUCUUGGGGCUUAACCCUGAGCGUGCUUUCAAUACGGGUUGACUUGAGGAAGGUAGGGGAGAAUGGAAUUCCCUGGUGGAGCGGUGGAAUGCGCAGAUAUCCAGGAGGAACACCAGUGGCGAAGGCGGUUUUCUGGGCCUUUCCCUGACGCUGAGGAGCGAAAGCGUGGGGAGCGAACAGGCUUAGAUACCCUGGUAGUCCACGCUGUAAACGGUGGGUACUAGGUGUGGGGUCCAUUCCACGGGUUCCGUGCCGUAGCUAACGCUUUAAGUACCCCGCCUGGGGAGUACGGCCGCAAGGCUAAAACUCAAAGGAAUUGACGGGGCCCCGCACAAGCGGCGGAGCAUGCGGAUUAAUUCGAUGCAACGCGUAGAACCUUACCUGGGUUUGACAUGGAUCGGGAGUGCUCAGAGAUGGGUGUGCCUCUUUUGGGGUCGGUUCACAGGUGGUGCAUGGCUGUCGUCAGCUCGUGUCGUGAGAUGUUGGGUUAAGUCCCGCAACGAGCGCAACCCUUGUUCACUGUUGCCAGCACGUUAUGGUGGGGACUCAGUGGAGACCGCCGGGGUCAACUCGGAGGAAGGUGGGGAUGACGUCAAGUCAUCAUGCCCCUUAUGUCCAGGGCUUCACGCAUGCUACAAUGGCUGGUACAGAGAGUGGCGAGCCUGUGAGGGUGAGCGAAUCUCGGAAAGCCGGUCUCAGUUCGGAUUGGGGUCUGCAACUCGACCUCAUGAAGUCGGAGUCGCUAGUAAUCGCAGAUCAGCAACGCUGCGGUGAAUACGUUCCCGGG
rnacentral:rRNA from 1 species